CCAUAGCUUGGGGGUAGAGCAUCUGCUUUUCAUGCAGGAGGUCCCAGGUUCAAUCCUCAACAUCUCCAGGUAGGGA